GCCUUCGUGGUGUAGUGGUCAGCACGCUCGACGCGUAACCGAGAGGUCCGUGGUUCGAUUCCCGGCGAAGACA
rnacentral:tRNA from 1 species